rnacentral:rRNA from 1 species
GCUCGUAGUUGGAUUUCUGUGGGGACGGAGCGGCCGGCCGCAACUUGCGGUUCGAGCUAGCGCUUUCCCUACAUCCUGCCGCGAACCGUGCUACCAUUAGUUUGGUGGCGCCGGGGAUCGGCUCGUUUACUUUGAGAAAAAUAGAGUGUUCAAAGCAGGCCACACGCCUUGAAUAAGUUAGCAUGGAAUAAUAAUAAAGGACUUCGGUUCUAUUUUGUUGGUGUUCGGGACUGAAGUAAUGAUUGAUAGGGACAGUUGGGGCGGUCAGUAUUCCAAAGCGAGAGGUGAAAUUCUUAGACCUUCGGAAGACUAACAGCUGCGAAAGCGUUCCGCAAGGAUGUUCCCUUUGAUCAAGAACGAAAGUUGGGGGAUCGAAGACGAUCAGAUACCGUCGUAGUCUCAACUAUAAACUAUACCAGCUAGGGAUCGGCCAACGUUAAAUUAUUCGACUUGGUCGGCACCUUAUGAGAAAUCAAAGCAUCUGGGUUCCGGGGGGAGUAUGGUCGCAAGGCUGAAACUUAAAGGAAUUGACGGAAGGGCACCACCAGCCGUGGAGCCUGUGGCUUAAUUUGACUCAACACGGGAAAACUUACCAGGUCCAGACAUAGUAAGGAUUGACAGAUUGAUAGCUCUUUCUUGAUUCUGUGGGUGGUGGUGCAUGGCCGUUCUUAGUUGGUGGAGUGAUUUGUCUGGUUAAUUCCGUUAACGAACGAGACCCCAGCCUGCUAAAUAGCGUGGUUGAGCUUUGCUCGGCGCAAGCUUCUUAGAGGGACUAUGAUGCGCGAUAGCACAUGGAAGUUUGGGGCAAUAACAGGUCUGUGAUGCCCUUAGAUGUUCUGGGCCGCACACGGGCUACACUGGCGCCUGCAACGAGCAUAUCAGCUGGCCCGAGAGGGUCUUGGCUAAUCUUUUGAACCGGCGCCGUGCUUGGGAUUGACCAUUGCAAUUGUUGGUCAUGCAACGAGGAAUGCCUUGUAAACGCGAGUCAUCACUCGCAUUGAAUACGUCCCUGCCCUUUGUACACACCGCCCGUCGCUCUACCGAUGAUG